AUGGAUUCGAGCCCGUGCUUUGCUCCCAACACCAGGGACGACGGCGAGGAAGAGCCCUUCAAGGUGAUAUGCAUAGCAAGAUACAUGACGAAGCUUGUCCUCUUUGUGCUCCCGUCCACAACCAUGCGAUGGUCUAUGGUCGAGCCUCCCACUUCACCUUCGUUGGAACGCAUGUCCUGUUUUGACUGCGUGCGCUGCUGCUUCUACUGGACACAGCCUUAUGGCUGGAGUGACCAUUUGAUGGUGCUGGACACGUGCACUUUGAGGUUCUCAACUGUCGACCUUCUCACCGGCUACCAUCUGGAGCUCAGCUAUCUGCCUGACCAGAGCUUUGGUCAUCGUCACGCAAAUGCCGUUGUGAUGGGCCGAGAAGGAGCCCUUGAGAUGUUUUCCCUUGUCGGUCAACAUGGAUCCUUUGCCCUCUACCAUACCUCUCUGAAGAAUAGUUCGCAGCAGUGGAAGCUAGAGAAGAUCAUACAGCUUCCUGAGCAGUAUCAUUCCAUUUGCACAAUGCGUGCAGCCGAGGGAUUCUUGUUCAUCCAAGGCGCUCCAGAAGGUAUUCAUAUUGGGAAUGUGGAUUGUUACUCAAUGGAGGUCAGGACUUAUGAAAUUACCAAAGUCUGCACAAAGAUGGAGAAUACCUUCAAUCCCAGACGUGCCCUCCCAUACUUUAGCUUCCCACCGCUGUUCUCGGAACUAACUAUCUGA
rnacentral:rRNA from 1 species